rnacentral:rRNA from 1 species
UACGUAGGGGGCAAGCGUUGUCCGGAAUCAUUGGGCGUAAAGGGCUCGUAGGCGGUUCGUCACGUCGGGAGUGAAAACUCGGAGCUUAACUCCGAGCCUGCUUCCGAUACGGGCAGACUAGAGGUAGGCAGGGGAGAGCGGAACUCCUGGUGUAGCGGUGGAAUGCGCAGAUAUCAGGAAGAACACCCGUGGCGAAGGCGGCUCUCUGGGACGGUACUGACGCUGAGACGCGAAAGCGUGGGGAGCGAACAGG